UACGGGGGGGGCAAGCGUUGUUCGGAAUUACUGGGCGUAAAGGGCUCGUAGGCGGCCAACUAAGUCAUACGUGAAAUCCCUCGGCUUAACCGGGGAACUGCGUCUGAUACUGGAUGGCUUGAGUUCGGGAGAGGGAUGCGGAAUUCCAGGUGUAGCGGUGAAAUGCGCAGAUAUCAGGAGGAACACCGGUGGCGAAGGCGGAUCUCUGGGCCGAUACUGACGCUGAGGAGCGAAAGCGUGGGGAGCGAACAGG
rnacentral:rRNA from 1 species